AAAAAAAAAAAAAAAAAAAAAAAAGAACGGGGAUUGAUGUCUAGCUGGUUCAAACAACAGACGUCUAUUCCAGGGGCCCAGGAUGUGAGUCUGGGUGGAAGGAGGUGGAUGGUAAAUUCUUUGAGGUCUGGGUGAGGGCGUGGCUUCCCUGGAGAGGUGGAGCCAGGGGGUACCACGGAGGAGCCUGGGCGCAGCCAGGACAACACCUGAGUCCUGACUGCCUGGGGGUUAGGGAGGAGGAAGGUGUGGAUGUGUAGAAAUAAUGGGAGACCCCGGAGAUAGCCUUGCUUCCCGUGGAGGGUUGGAGAACAUGCUGGAAGGACGCUGUGCACUGGAGGGAUCAGUGGCUUUUAGCUCCUUGCUCCUUGAAGAUGGAAGUGGAUAGAGGCCCUUAUCCGGUUCCCCUUCUGUCCCUUGCUGAGAGUUUCUGGGGUAAGAUGGACUGUCCAUUGCAAGAAGCACCUGCUGUGUUUCUUGUGCUCAGGUGACACAGGUGGGCUCCCCCUUGGUCUCACAGCUGGGAAUCCUGAUCCUGAGAAAAGUCCUUCCUGUCUCUUCAGGGAGGUGGGGUGACAGGUGGGGACCCAAGACCUCCCAGGCCCCUCCUCUUCCCUGAGGCCCUUACUCAUCCCCAGCAGAGGCACCCGGCCUCUGGGUGUAGGACGCUUUGGAGGUUCUAAUCACCUUCCUGGUUACUCCUCCCAGCAGUUCUGAAUCCACAGAUGCUCAGUCACCUGUUUACAGACAGGGAACCUGGUUCAUAGCGUGAUUUAAACCCCAGACCUGGGAAAGUGUGGGCCGAGGCUGUCUUUCCACCUGGUUUAUGGCUUCCCUCUCUGAGCAGUGCUGCCCUUGGCUCUGCUGAGAGUUUAUAACCGGCUCUCAUUUUGGGUCUGGCAGAGCCCCCUCCGGACUCAUAGGAGAGAGGAAGGCAGCCCCCCUUUCUGUGUGAGACGCAUCUUUUCUCCUGCCUGGCUACAACAGUCGUAAGCAAGACUGCAGUAAAUAAAUAGUUCAGUUCCCACCGAAAUUGCCUAUGCUGGAAUUUGAGCCUUAAAAAGAAACAUGAAUGAUGACUAGGAGAGCACAUUCCUUUAUUUGAACCCCGAUGAUUCUAACACAGAUAGUAGAAAUGUGAGAAGCCUCAGCUAAGUGUGUUCUCUGGGUUAUAAAUUCCUUUUCUCUCUAAUGCCUCUGCCUUAUCUGGAGAUUCUCUUGGCUGCACUUUCUUCUUUCAUGUCUGUCUCCUUUAUUCACUGUGUGUUCCUUCUUUUCUUGGGUUUUACUAGCUCAGCAGCUGCAGCUGAAUCAAGCCAAGAAUAUUUGCUCCGGGUGGCGGAGGAGUGCUCUCCCUAGCCCCCGUCCCUGCUCUCUCCAGUGUGCUGCUGCCCUUCUGUAACUCUGUCCUUUCCAGAAUCAACCCUCCCCGAGCUUGGUUAAAAAAAAUUGAGUGGAUGACAAAACAAUUCCACAUCACCAGGCUUGUUGGGCUUUCAUUACCUCCCUCAAAACCAAGCCCCCACCCAGCAGACUCUCAGAGUACCUUCUCUGGCUGUGUCUACAGGAUGCUUUGAAACGUAUUCUUAUUUUUCAACAAAAGAGCAGUAUGACCAGAGGCACUGUUGAAGUAUCUUAUCAACCAAGAGGUUUUGUUGCUGGGGCCGUGGAAAAUAAUGGUGGUUCUGGCAAAAUGGGGAAAAAAUGGUCACUCACAGUUCUCAGAACUUAUGCUUGAAGGAAGCACACCUUGUGUGUUUUGGGGGCAGUUGCAGCAUUCCUCAUGGAACUUAAAUCUACCCUGGGAGUUGUAAUUGAACUUGAAAACACCCAAGGCUGUGGUUUCAGCUCUGCAGAGGGGUACAUAGAAGGCAGCUUUGGGGAAGAUCGGGUCAAAAGGAACCUAGAGAAAGCAAGGGGAAGAGGAAAAAUAUGCUGUAAUGACAGAGAUAAGCCCAACUUUAUCAGCUGUGAUGAUAUAAAGAGGAAAUAAAAAUCAGGCCGAAACAAAAUGACUCCAAAAGUUUUAAAACUAAUUAAAAAGAUAAUGUAGCAAUAGCCAUGCAGAUAAACUGGAACUCAAAGUGAGAAGAACUGAGACAGAUAUUUCAUGUUAAUAAAAAUGAACAUGCACCAAGGAGAUAUACCAGCUUUGACACUAUAUGCCUCAUCUUUCACAUAUUUAUAGCUACAUUUCUUUGCGUUUUAAGGAGAAAUUGACAGCCAGAAUGGAAGAGGUUUUAACACAUCCCUCUGGUAUUGGGCUGAGCUGUGGCCCUAAAGUAUGUCAACAUACUAAUCCCUAGAACCUGUAAUUAUUACCUUGCUUGUAAAGAGUCUUUGCAAAUAUAAUUAAGAAUCUUGAGAUACAAUCAUCCUGGAUUAUCCAGGUGGGCUCUAAACGCCAUCACAAGUGUCCUGAUGGGAGAGAAGCAGCAGAAGGAGAUUAGACCCACACUGAGGAGGCCGUAUGGAGAUGGGGGUAGAGCUUGGAGUGAGGUAACCUCCAGCCAAGGAAUGUGAGCAGCCACCAGGAGCAAGAAGAGGCAGAGAACGGCUUCUCUCUUAGGGUCUCAGGAGGGAAACCUUGCUUUGGACUUCCCAUCUCCAGAACUGUGAGAGAAUACAUUUCUCUUGUUUUAAGCCACUGAAUUUGUGGUAAUUUGUUAUGGCAGCUACAGGAAACAAAUGCAAUUCUCAAAAAAUGAACAGAGCAAGUAAAAGAAUAAUAAAGAAUAUCAAGGAUUUUGACACAAGGGUUUAUAAAAAUUUUUUAAAAAGAAUAUCAGGGACUUGGAGUUCCCACAGUGGUUCAGCAGAAACAAAUCUGACUAGCAUCCAUGAGGACACAGCUUCAAUCCCUGGCCUUGCUCAGUAGGUUAAGGAUCCUGCAUUGCUGUGGCUGUGGUGUAGGCUGGCAGGUAGCUACAGCUCCGAUUCAACCCCUAGCCUGGGAACUUCCAUAUGUCGGGAGUGCAGCACUAAAAAGACACACACACACACACACACACAAAAGAAUAUCAGAGACUUGAAAAAUUUAACUAACUCUACAUCCAAGUAUGCUCAUUUAAAAAAUAUAUAGGAAAAUUUAUUAAAAUUAACCAGAGUUAAUUAGUCCAGAAUUCCUGUAAGGGCUUAAUGGAUUAAGGACCUGAUGUGACGUAGUCUCUGUGAGGAUUUGGGUUUGAUCCCUGGCCUCGCUCAGUGGAUUAAGGAUCCAGCAUUGCCACAGCUGUGGGAUAGGUCACAGAUGCGGCUCGUAACUGACAUUGCUGUGCCUGUGGUGUAGGCCUGCAGCUGCAGCUCCAUUUUGACCACUAGCCUGGGAACUUCCAUAUGCGGCAGUUGAGGCUGUAAAAAGAAAAAAAAAUUAACCAUGUUCUAGGCUACAAAGGAAAAUGUACAGUUUCCCAAGGUUGAAGUUAUCCAGUCCUUAUUCUUUGGGAGCAGGGCAAUAAAAACUGCAAUCACCAACAAAAAGAUAGAAUAUCCCCCACGUGCAUUGGGAGAUUAGAAAAUACCUUCUAAAUAAUUCAUGUUUUAACAAGAAAAUCAAAAUAGAAGUUGUAGUACUUAAAACCAAAUGACUGUAAAAGUUGUGCAUAUAAAGUUUUGAGAUAAAGCCAUAGUGUUACUCGCAGGGGAAUUUAGAGCUAUAAAUGCAUUUAUUGGAAAACAAGAAAGAUUGAAAAGAAAUUAGCUAAGCUUUCUUAGCUAUAAAAAAAACUAUUAAAAAAAACCAAAGCAAAAUCAGAAGAAAAUGUAAGGAAGGAAAUAAUAAAGAUUAGAGCAGAAAUUAAUAAAAAUAGAAAACCAGAAGCUCCAGUAGAGUUAAUCAGUGAAACAAAAGCAAAAUCUUUAAAGUGGUUAAUAAAAUCGUCAGGCUUUGGGCAGGUAUAAUCAAUAAAAAAGAAAGAAAGCAUAAAUAAAUAUCACAAGGAAACAAAAAAGGGCCUAUAGCUGGAGCUAUAUUUGACCUUUAAAAUUUGUAAAGAAUUAAAUAUUUUUACACUAAUACAUUAAGAAAGCAACAAAGCAACUCCUAAGAUAGUAGUAAUAAUCAAGGUCAACCCAAGAACAAGUAGAAAAGUAAUUGUAGAAUAAAUGGAAAUGAUGGACAAAGAUUAAUAGGCAAGAGGCACCAAGCCCAUACAGUUUAAGAGGUGAGUUCUACCAAAUAAUCCAGGAGAAGAUGACCUAGAUUUGGUGAAACCAUUCUAGAGCAUAGAAGAAGAUAGACUGUCAACCAACCCACAUUAUGAAAUUAGUAAAAAACAUAUUAUCAAAACCACACAUGGAGUUCCCUGGUGGCUCAGCAUGUUACGAAUCUAGUGUCACUGCUGUGGCCCAGGUUCAAUUCCUGGCCCGGGAACUUCCUCAUGCCUCAGGUACAGCCAAAAAAACAAAUGAACAAACAAAAACAAAACAAAGCAA
rnacentral:lncRNA from 1 species